UUCCUACGGGACGCAGCAGUGAGGAAUAUUGGUCAAUGGGCGGGAGCCUGAACCAGCCAAGUCGCGUGAAGGAAGAAGGUACUUAGUAUUGUAAACUUCUUUUGUCGGGGAACAAAGGCGGAGACGCGUCUCCGGAUGAGUGUAUCCGAAGAAAAAGCAUCGGCUAACUCCGUGCCAGCAGCCGCGGUAAUACGGAGGAUGCGAGCGUUAUCCGGAUUUAUUGGGUUUAAAGGGUGCGCAGGCGGUACGUUAAGUCAGCGGUAAAAUUGCGGGGCUCAACCCCGGCCGGCCGUUGAAACUGGCUG
rnacentral:rRNA from 1 species